CCUACGGGUGGCAGCAGUGGGGAAUAUUGGACAAUGGGGGGAACCCUGAUCCAGCCAUGCCGCGUGUGUGAAGAAGGCCCUCGGGUUGUAAAGCACUUUCAGUGAGGAAGAACGCCUGGUGGUUAAUACCCAUCAGGAAAGACAUCACUCACAGAAGAAGCACCGGCUAACUCCGUGCCAGCAGCCGCGGUAAUACGGAGGGUGCGAGCGUUAAUCGGAAUUACUGGGCGUAAAGCGCGCGUAGGUGGCUUGAUAAGCCGGUUGUGACAGCCCCGGGCUCAACCUGGGAACGGCAUCCGGAACUGUCAAGCUAGAGUGCAGGAGAGGAAGGUAGAAUUCCCGGUGUAGCGGUGAAAUGCGUAGAGAUCGGGAGGAAUACCAGUGGCGAAGGCGGCCUUCUGGACUGACACUGACACUGAGGUGCGAAAGCGUGGGUAGCAAACAGGAUUAGAUACCCUAGUAGUC
rnacentral:rRNA from 1 species